CUGUGUCCGUCAUCGCUGCCAUCAUCAUCAUCAUCGGCCUCGUGGCAGUCGGUGUCUGGAAGCUCCGAUCCGGGAAGAGGGAGGGGAAUGGAUACGACCCCGCGCCCACCAGAAUCACGGCCUGAGCGAUCCUGGAGCUGGAUCCGCCCCUUCCCUCUCCCUGCAGAAAGGCAGGAGCUGCUGGCAAAGCUCAUCCCGCUGCUCCCACCCACCCCGGCCCCCCUGCGGCUCUUCCCCAUGGAUC